CUCCGGUCAUGUGUGCGGCGGCGGAUCAACCCCUUGCGCCAAACUGUCGUCUCUAACAGACCGAAGCGGUUCCCUGUGAGUAGGCCACUUAAUUGGGGCUGAAAGCGUUUACGCAUUAACCACAUGCAUACGGGACGUCGGUCAAAGUUACUGUGAACAAACCAGCGUGUCCAAAACAGGCUUUGCUUGAAUGUUCGAGCAUGGAAUAGCAAGGGAUCGAUUCUCUCGGUUCUUUUUGUUGGUUUUUAACCCGAGAAGGAGUAAUUCAGGCCAAGGUGUCUGGGCUGGGUUCCCCUUCACUUCGGUGAAGGCCCCAGUUAGGCCUUGUCCUUACGGGAUAAAUAGGGACUGACGGGGUCGUACGUACUUCCACGUCAGAGGUGAAAUUCUUAGAUCGUGGGAAGACGAACUUCUGCGAAAGCAUUCGACAAGAAUGUCUUCAUUAAUCAAGAACGAGAGUGUGGGGAUCGAAGAUGAUCAGAUACCGUCGUAGUCCACUACUGUAAACAAUGCCGUCUCAGGAUUGAGAAGUGAACCUAAUGACUUUCACAGCACUAACCCCUGAAACGAGAAAUCAAAGAUUAUGGGUUCAGGGGGGAGUACAUUCGCAAGGCUGAAACUUAAAGGAAUUGACGGAA
rnacentral:rRNA from 1 species